CACGUAGGGCGCAAGCGUUGUCCGGAAUUAUUGGGCGUAAAGAGCUCGUAGGCGGCUUGUCGCGUCGUCCGUGAAAACUUGGGGCUCAACCCCAAGCUUGCGGUCGAUACGGGCAGGCUAGAGUUCGGUAGGGGAGACUGGAAUUCCUGGUGUAGCGGUGAAAUGCGCAGAUAUCAGGAGGAACACCGGUGGCGAAGGCGGGUCUCUGGGCCGAUACUGACGCUGAGGAGCGAAAGCGUGGGGAGCGAACAGG
rnacentral:rRNA from 1 species